rnacentral:rRNA from 1 species
GACGAACGCUGGCGGCGUGCCUAACACAUGCAAGUCCAGGAGAAUAAGCGCUUUCGGGUGCUUUAGUAAACUGGCGAACGGGUGAGUAACACGUAGGUAACCUGCCCUUGGAUUGGGGAUAACACUGCUAACGCGGUGCUAAUACCGAAUAAUGCAACGCUUCCGCAUGGAGGUGUUGUUAAAGCUGGCCUCUAUUUAUAAGCUAGCGUCUGAGGAUGGACCUGCGUCCCAUUAGUUUGUUGGCGGGGUAACGGCCCACCAAGACUACGAUGGGUAGCCGGCCUGAGAGGGUGACCGGCCACACUGGGACUGAGAUACGGCCCAGACUCCUACGGGAGGCAG